rnacentral:rRNA from 1 species
UACACACCGCCCGUCACACCAUGGGAGUCGUUUGCUCCAGAAGUGCCUUCGUCAACCUCGCAAGAGGGGAUAGGGCCCAAGGAGUGAACGGUAACUGGGGUG